CGGGGAAAACGGGGUUCGAACCCGCGACUUCUGGCGUGACAGACCAGCACUCUAACCAACUGAGCUAUUUCCCC
rnacentral:tRNA from 3 species